rnacentral:misc_RNA from 1 species
GGUAAAACAAAUACUCGUUAACACAUUUAAUCAUUAUCAUGUUUUUUUUUUCAAACUAACAUUCAAGGUAAUUUUAUUAGUUACGUUGUCAAUCUCAUGAUAUGGCUUUGUUUCUGUAUACUUGGUAUAUGGGUUCUAUUUUUUUAUGAAUAGUCAUACUUUUCAUCAUUUUCUCUCACAUUUUCUUCAAUUGAACUCAUUUUGCACAACAGCAAAAACAAAAACUGUUUGAUAUGCAAUAAAGCAAUAACAUUUUAGUUCGAAAAGUGUUUUAGUGUUUAGAAAUUAUUAAGGAGGAUAGGUGAUCAAAAGUUGGUAAAACGAUCAGUCUUAUUUGAAAAAAAAAAUUAACUGAAUCUUUGAUUUCUGAUUAUAUAUAAAGAAUAAUUCAAAGUCCUUUUUCAUUUGGAGACAAAUAGGGUUUUAAAAUAGCCAAGACCAACGAUCAUCUUUUCUCUAUAAAAAUGAAUUGUAGAAGUUUAGAAUCAUUGAGUAAGUAAAAAUGCUCUUUAACCUGUAUAUUGUUGUCUAUUGACAAAUUUGCUCGGCUGAUCAGGCUUAUCUGUGAUAUACAUAUAAUCAUAUCUACGACAAAAUAAUUGUCCUUCCACAGUGCUGUGAAUACAUGUAUUAUAUGUACCUUAGUUAUUGAUAUACGUCAGGUAUUAUCAUUUAGCUUCAUUAUGUUUGAUUUAAAAUUAGUCUUAUUAGUUAAUUUUAGCAAUAGCAUACAUUUUUGUGCCAAUGGAAAAAAUAUAUUGUGAGAUGCGCCCUGGAGAUUUAGUGAUCCUCUGAUCACUUGAUAGAGAGAGGUCUUUUAAAGGAGAGGUCCUGCAGAGUGAUAUGAGAUAAAAAAUAAACUGAUGGUAUGCACACAUGCGUUGAAAAGUAUUAUUUUAAUUUUGUAAACAGAGAUUUUUGUUCUGGCCAAAUUUUAAAAGAGUGAUUUUAUUGUUUCUUUCUGUUUUCUUGAAUAAAUUGUCAAAGAAUU